CACGUAGGGUGCGAGCGUUGUCCGGAAUUAUUGGGCGUAAAGAGCUCGUAGGCGGUGUGUCGCGUCGGCCGUGAAAACCUGCAGCUUAACUGUGGGCUUGCGGUCGAUACGGGCAUCACUGGAGUUCGGCAGGGGAGACUGGAAUUCCUGGUGUAGCGGUGAAAUGCGCAGAUAUCAGGAGGAACACCGGUGGCGAAGGCGGGUCUCUGGGCUGACACUGACGCUCAUGCACGAAAGCGUGGGGAGCAAACAGG
rnacentral:rRNA from 1 species